CGAGCGGCGCACGCGCGGUGACGGUAGGAUGGUGGCGUUGGUACCUUUUACGGUUCCCAUCGGGGGUGACAAAACCUUGCUGGUGUGGGAGCUGAGCUCCGGACCCACGGCCGAAACCUUGCAAAAAUUUCCAAGAAAACUCUAUUUCUUACAUUGAUGAAAGUAUAUGGAAGGCAUACCGCUGGACUGAGAAGCUAGGUGAGAAAACAAUCAAUCUUAGCACCAUCUGUUGACCAUUCCUCCUAACGCGUAUUCUGACAAUCACUGCGAUUCCUUCUAAAAUGGUGAAUUUCAACUUGAGACAAGUUGCUGAGCUGACCUACAACUAUUUAAACCCCAAAAGACUUCAAAUUGCAGAGAAAAUACUGGAAACUUUCUCUAGUCCUACUGAAUGGUGAGGGGCAUACAGAAUGUAGAAUUAAGAUCAUGCCUGUAUGUUUUCAAUACUUAUUAUUAUAUAAAGAGCAGUCAAAGC